GGGGAAUAUUGCGCAAUGGGGGGAACCCUGACGCAGCCAUGCCGCGUGAAUGAAGAAGGCCUUCGGGUUGUAAAGUUCUUUCGGUAUUGAGGAAGGUUGAUGUGUUAAUAGCACAUCAAAUUGACGUUAAAUACAGAAGAAGCACCGGCUAACUCCGUGCCAGCAGCCGCGGUAAUACGGAGGGUGCGAGCGUUAAUCGGAAUAACUGGGCGUAAAGGGCACGCAGGCGGUUAUUUAAGUGAGGUGUGAAAGCCCCGGGCUUAACCUGGGAAUUGCAUUUCAGACUGGGUAACUAGAGUACUUUAGGGAGGGGUAGAAUUCCACGUGUAGCGGUGAAAUGCGUAGAGAUGUGGAGGAAUACCGAAGGCGAAGGCAGCCCCUUGGGAAUGUACUGACGCUCAUGUGCGAAAGCGUGGGGAGCAAACAGGAUUAGAUACCCUGGUAGUCCACGUUGUAAACGCUGUCGAUUUGGGGGUUGGGGUUUAACUCUGGCGCCCGUGGCUAACGUGAUAAAUCGACCGCCUGGGGAGUACGGCCGCAAGGUUA
rnacentral:rRNA from 1 species